rnacentral:tRNA from 1 species
AGAGAUGUGGUUCAGAGGUUUAGAGCAUUGGAUGCUCUUCUAAAGGACCUGGGUUCAAUUCCCAGCACCACAC